CUACCCCCACCUUUAAUUCAACCAACUCCUCCACUUGCUAAUCGAAAUGUCAACGCCAUCAUCUCAAGGGGCAGAAACCACGCCACUCCGACAACCCACCGGAUUCCGGCAUAAGCCCACCGGAGAACCAGUCCUACGGUCCGAUUUUAAUUCCGCAGCCUCUACUACCCGGCCAGGGAGGAUAUUUUUGCCCGUCGAGGGCUGCAUCGCCAGCGGCUGCCUUCGUUGUUCGCUACCAUUGCACGCUGCACCACUGAAGAAGAGCGAUUUCGAGAACCUGAUUCUGGCCUGAGCAGCUGCGCCUGAAGCGUCUGUUGAAAUCGAGAGCGAGGCAUCAAAUCUUUCUGCAGAUUCCUGCCUGAUUAUUCAAGUUGGCGGCUUCCCGCCGUAAGUUGCCGAAUUCUUGGGUAGCUUGAGUCGGUCGACUACUUCGGUAGCUUGUUCCUGUUUGUAGAGUGAAUUGCUGUCGGGUGUUCGAUGGGCAACCGGUUUGGGAAGAUAUGCGGUUGCUGCAUCGUGUCAGGGCGCCGGCGCGGCGACGUCCUAGCAAUCGGCGGCAGCGGAGGAGGGCCUGAUGAGGGCCUCGGUCACUCCUUCUGUUAUAUACGGCCGGACCUGGCGCGCCUCUCGUCGUCGAAGGUCCACCACUCGGAGGAGACCACCACUUUCCGGUCGAUAUCCGGAGCCGCGUUAGGCGCCAACACCUCUACACCUCUGUCUACGGACCUCUGCUCCUAUGCCGCUGCGACGGCUGUCUCUGCGUCAGCAGCCUUCGAGAGCUCCGACUCGUUCCAGUCGAUUCCGCUCCAACCUGUGCCGCGGUUUGGUGGUGGUGGUGGCGGCGGCGGCGGAGUAUUUUCGGGGCCGAUCGGAGUUCCACCCUUUUCGGGCCCAAUUGAACGAGGAUUUAUGUCCGGGCCAAUCGAGCGGGGAUUCCUGUCGGGCCCUCUAGAUAAGGCGGUGUUUUCCGGCCCGCUGGAAAAGUUCCAGCGGAGCUUCUCCCAUGGCGGCAUAUUCGCUGGUCGGCACCGGAAAGCCUCCUUAAUUAAGGCCCUUCGGCGGGCCAUCACCAGUGCGGUUGCUCGGUCAUCAAUUGUAGCGCCAAUUAAGUUAGGCGUCUCCGGAUUUUCAAAGGAGAAGAAGUUCUCUUCUGGUGGUAGUGGCGCUGUUGCUGAAAAUGUGAGCUGCGACGGCGGCGGCGGUGGUAGUGAAUUGGGUACAAAUGAUGAAGACUUUUCCUUUGAGAGUCAGAACCUUCAGUGGGCGCAGGGUAAGGCAGGGGAAGACAGAGUACAUGUAGUGAUAUCUGAGGAGCAUGGAUGGCUCUUUGUUGGAAUCUAUGAUGGAUUCAAUGGCCCAGAUGCUCCUGAUUACCUCCUAUCCAAUCUCUACACUGCUGUUCAAAUGGAGCUCAAGGGUCUCCUCUGGGACCAGCCGCCAUCCAUGGUCGGUGCUCAACAGAAUGGCUGUUCUAGCUCUGUAGAGGAACCAAACGUCAAUGGCUCCGACCAAAAUUGGACGAUCGGAGGUUAUGGGAAUUCAGAGAAUGCCGAGAAGAAAAAGAACGCGAUGAAGAGGUGGAAGAGAAGGAAUGGCAGGAGCAGGUUCAAGGGAGUGACCAAAAAGUGGGAGGAGAGCCAGAGGAGAUGGAAGGAGCAGUAUGGAAGCAGCGCCGCGACAGAAGGAACGGUUGAUCAUGGCAGAGUUUUGAAGGCGCUCGCUCGCGCAUUGAGGAAGACAGAGGAGGACUACUUGGAGAUCGCGGACAAGAUGCUUUCAGAGAAUCCUGAAUUGGCUCUAAUGGGGUCCUGUGUUCUGGUGAUGCUGAUGAAGGGAGAGGAUGUUUACUUGAUGAAUGUUGGGGACAGCAGGGGGGUUUUAGCUCAAAAGGUAGAAGCAGAUUUGUGGGACUUGGAAAGAAUCAAUGAGGAAACGCCCACUGAUCUCCAGUUCCGCGAUGAAGACUACAGCUUCUCAGAUAAUACACCAUCCUUGUCUGCGCUUCAGCUCACCUUGGAUCAUAGUACCAGCGUGGAAGAGGAAGUUGCAAGAAUUAGAAAGGAGCAUCCAGAUGAUGCUUGUACUAUCAUGAACGACAGAGUCAAGGGCUCUCUCAAGGUCACAAGAGCAUUUGGAGCAGGCUUUCUUAAGCAGCGAAAGUGGAAUGAUGCUCUACUACAGAUGUUCCAAAUAGAUUACAUUGGAACUGCACCAUAUCUCACUUGUGCUCCCUCUCUGUAUCACCACCGACUCGGUCCGAGGGAUAGAUUCUUGAUACUGUCAUCGGAUGGGCUCUAUCAAUACUUCACCAAUGAGGAAGCUGUGGCUGAGGUUGAGACGUUCAUCCAGUCAUAUCCAGAAGGAGACCCAGCACAACAUCUUGUUGAGGAAGUUCUCUUCCGCGCAGCAAAGAAAGCAGGUAUGGAUUUUCAUGAACUGCUGGAAAUACCGCACGGUGAUCGACGCAGAUAUCACGAUGAUGUCUCCAUAAUUGUGGUUUCUUUGGAAGGAAGAAUCUGGAGAUCAUGUGUGUAAAUACAGCUAGACAGAACCCAUUCAGUACUUACGGAAAAGUUAGAACUUUUCUGGUUUUUUUGCAGUCACCAUUGUACAAUCCAAGCUGAACUUUCCAAUGUGGAUCUUGCUUGCAUCUAUCUGUCAUCGGGGUUGAAAGAGAGUUAUAAUGCAAUUCAACAACUAUAGUAACAUCCCCUGAUCUCUCAUCUUCCUUCUCUGCAUUCGACUCCCCUCCAUUGUCAGCCACCAUCUUCACUCUUCCGUUUCUCGAGUUCUGCUUUCCGAACACAAACAAAAGCCGAAAAGCAGAGUAACAAACAAUACCUGCUUCUUUGGCGGCAAAUAAAGGCGACCCACGUGAUGAUAGCAAAGAUGCAACUGCUCCGAGUACAGAAGUAAAAUUUUCAUUCAAAGUCCAUGUUGUCGUGCAUGCAUAAUCUAAUGCACGCAGCACGCUGCUUC